rnacentral:rRNA from 1 species
GUGCCAGCAGCCGCGGUAAUACGGAGGGGGCUAGCGUUGUUCGGAAUUACUGGGCGUAAAGCGUACGUAGGCGGCUACUCAAGUCAGAGGUGAAAGCCCGGAGCUCAACUUCGGAAUUGCCUUUGAAACUAGGUAGCUUGAACGUCGGAGAGGUGAGUGGAAUUCCGAGUGUAGAGGUGAAAUUCGUAGAUAUUCGGAAGAACACCAGUGGCGAAGGCGGCUCACUGGACGACUGUUGACGCUGAGGUACGAAAGCGUGGGGAGCAAACAGGAUUAGAUACCCUGGUAGUCC